UACGAAGGGGGCUAGCGUUGUUCGGAUUUACUGGGCGUAAAGCGCACGUAGGCGGAUCGUUAAGUCGGGGGUGAAAUCCUGGAGCUCAACUCCGGCACUGCCUUCGAUACUGGCGAUCUUGAGUCCGGAAGAGGUGAGUGGAACUCCUAGUGUAGAGGUGGAAUUCGUAGAUAUUAGGAAGAACACCAGUGGCGAAGGCGGCUCACUGGUCCGGUACUGACGCUGAGGUGCGAAAGCGUGGGGAGCAAACAGG
rnacentral:rRNA from 1 species